rnacentral:rRNA from 2 species
UGGAAGUAAAAGUCGUAACAAGGUCUCCGUUGGUGAACCAGCGGAGGGAUCAUUACCGAGUUAUUCAACUCAUCAACCCUGUGAACAUACCUAAACGUUGCUUCGGCGGGAAUAGACGGCCCCGUGAAACGGGCCGCCCCCGCCAGAGGACCCUUAACUCUGUUUCUAUAAUGUUUCUUCUGAGUAAAACAAGCAAAUAAAUUAAAACUUUCAACAACGGAUCUCUUGGCUCUGGCAUCGAUGAAGAACGCAGCGAAAUGCGAUAAGUAAUGUGAAUUGCAGAAUUCAGUGAAUCAUCGAAUCUUUGAACGCACAUUGCGCCCGCCAGUAUUCUGGCGGGCAUGCCUGUUCGAGCGUCAUUACAACCCUCAGGCCCCCGGGCCUGGCGUUGGGGAUCGGCGGAGCCUCUCUGUGGGCACACGCCGUCCCCCAAAUACAGUGGCGGUCCCGCCGCAGCUUCCAUCGCGUAGUAGCUAACACCUCGCGACUGGAGAGCGGCGCGGCCACGCCGUAAAACACCCAACUUUUCUGAAGUUGACCUCGAAUCAGGUAGGAAUACCCGCUGAACUUAAGCAUAUCAAUAAGCGGAGGA